UACGUAGGGUGCAAGCGUUGUCCGGAAUUAUUGGGCGUAAAGAGCUCGUAGGCGGUCUGUCGCGUCUGCUGUGAAAACUCGGGGCUUAACCCCGGGCCUGCAGUGGGUACGGGCAGACUAGAGUGCGGUAGGGGAGACUGGAAUUCCUGGUGUAGCGGUGAAAUGCGCAGAUAUCAGGAGGAACACCGGUGGCGAAGGCGGAUCUCUGGGCCUUACCUGACGCUGAGGCGCGAAAGCUAGGGGAGCGAACAGG
rnacentral:rRNA from 1 species